rnacentral:lncRNA from 1 species
ACUGCGGUGUUGCCGCCCCGGAGGAGGUGGGACAACGGCGGUUGUGCCAGUCCGGGCGCUGCACCCCCUUCCCGGAACUCUAAUCGUAUCCCCAAAUAGAGGGAUGGGAACACAUUUGCUUUCGCAGUAAAACGAAACGGACAGAUUGUGAAGAAGCGGACAAACCUCGCGUUAAUAUUCGAACCAGGUGGACAGCACGGAAGAGGCAGUACAUCUUAACAAAAUCAGGGUUCUGGAUGAAGGGAGGGGUGGUGAAUGGUUGCUGCAAUCAACAGUUCAUACUUCAAUGGAAAGAAGGUGGGAUUUGAUUCCUGGCU